CUGGCAUGAUAUUACAAAAUGACUCUCCCUUUUUUUCCUCUUUUUUUUUUUAUAGGGUGACCAAGGCGACCAGGGGCCGCGGGGACUUCCUGGUCUGCCCACCCUGGCUGCAUUGCACAGCAAUCAAAUCCUGACUGUGAAGGUUUGUUGGAGUGGCCUAGCUGCUCAGGCAGACUCUAUGGCACACACACUGAGAUGACAUACAUCCUCCACACAUUUGUCCCCUGGACCACUCAAUGACAGUGGCACAACUGUGUCUGAUUAAUCGAGCCCAAUCAAUUGCUUUCAUGCCCCUGAGCUACCGGCAGCCCCAAUAAAAAAAUGGGGUUCUUUUCUAUAUACUGUAGAGUGCCAAGGAUACAGGAAAAGAGAAUGAGCAGUGCUGGCAGCUUUGUCGAAAAUAAAAAAAGCAAAAAGGCGUAAUCUACAAUUAAUUAGAAACAGG
ensembl:lncRNA